GAGUAAUGUCUGGGAAACUGCCUGAUGGAGGGGGAUAACUACUGGAAACGGUGGCUAAUACCGCAUAACGUCGCAAGACCAAAGAGGGGGACCUUCGGGCCUCUUGCCAUCAGAUGUGCCCAGAUGGGAUUAGCUUGUUGGUGAGGUAACGGCUCACCAAGGCGACGAUCCCUAGCUGGUCUGAGAGGAUGACCAGCCACACUGGAACUGAGACACGGUCCAGACUCCUACGGGAGGCAGCAGUGGGGAAUAUUGCACAAUGGGCGCAAGCCUGAUGCAGCCAUGCCGCGUGUAUGAAGAAGGCCUUCGGGUUGUAAAGUACUUUCAGCGGGGAGGAAGGUGUUGUGGUUAAUAACCACAGCAAUUGACGUUACCCGCAGAAGAAGCACCGGCUAACUCCGUGCCAGCAGCCGCGGUAAUACGGAGGGUGCAAGCGUUAAUCGGAAUUACUGGGCGUAAAGCGCACGCAGGCGGUCUGUCAAGUCGGAUGUGAAAUCCCCGGGCUCAACCUGGGAACUGCAUUCGAAACUGGCAGGCUUGAGUCUUGUAGAGGGGGGUAGAAUUCCAG
rnacentral:rRNA from 1 species